rnacentral:rRNA from 1 species
UACAGAGGGGGCAAGCGUUGUUCGGAAUUACUGGGCGUAAAGGGCGCGUAGGCGGCCUGUUAAGUCGAACGUGAAAUCCCCGGGCUCAACCCGGGAACUGCGUCCGAUACUGGCAGGCUUGAAUCCGGGAGAGGGAUGUGGAAUUCCAGGUGGUAGCGGUGAAAUGCGUAGAUAAUCUGGAGGAACACCGGUGGCGAAGGCGGCAUCCUGGACCGGUAUGACGCUGAGGCGCGAAAGCCAGGGAGCGAACGGG